rnacentral:tRNA from 1 species
GGGGUUGUGGCUCAUUGGAAGAGCGCUUGCCUAGCGUGUUGGAGACACUGGGUUUAAUCCUCAGCACCACA